GACGAACGCUGGCGGCGUGCUUAACACAUGCAAGUCGAACGGAAAGGCCCUGCUUUUGUGGGGUGCUCGAGUGGCGAACGGGUGAGUAACACGUGAGUAACCUGCCCUUGACUUUGGGAUAACUUCAGGAAACUGGGGCUAAUACCGGAUAGGAGCUCUUGCUGCAUGGUGGGGGUUGGAAAGUUUCGGCGGUUGGGGAUGGACUCGCGGCUUAUCAGCUUGUUGGUGGGGUAGUGGCUUACCAAGGCUUUGACGGGUAGCCGGCCUGAGAGGGUGACCGGCCACAUUGGGACUGAGAUACGGCCCAGACUCCUACGGGAGGCAGCAGUGGGGAAUAUUGCACAAUGGGCGGAAGCCUGAUGCAGCAACGCCGCGUGCGGGAUGACGGCCCUCGGGUUGUAAACCGCUUUCGCCUGUGACGAAGCGUGAGGGACGGUAAUGGGUAAAGAAGCACCGGCUAACUACGU
rnacentral:rRNA from 1 species